UGAAUACGAGACGCUAAGGCGUUGAAGUAGUGUAUGUCAUACUUCCAAGAAAAGCUUGCACUGUCAUAGAUAAAAAACGCCUGUACCAUAACCGACACAGGUGGGUAGGUAGAGUAUACUAAGGGGCGCGAGAUAACUCUCUCUAAGGAACUCGGCAAAAUAACUCCGUAACUUCGGGAGAAGGAGUGCCUUAUUUAUAAGGCUGCAAUAACAAGAUCCAAGCAACUGUUUAUCAAAAACACAGGUCUCCGCUAAGUCGUAAGACGAUGUAUGGGGGCUGACGCCUGCCCAGUGCCAGAAGGUUAAAGAAGUUGGUUAGCAAUAGCGAAGCUGAUAACUGAAGCCCUGGUGAACGGCGGCCGUAACAAUAACGGUCCUAAGGUAGCGAAAUUCCUUGUCGGGUAAGUUCCGACCCGCACGAAAGGCGUAAUGAUUUGGAUACUGUCUCGGAGAGGGGCUCGGUGAAAUAGACUUGUCUGUGAAGAUGCGGACUACCUGCACCAGGACAGAAAGACCCUAUGAAGCUUUACUGUAACCUGAAAUUGAAAUUGGACUUUAUUCGCGCAGUAUAGGUGGGAGGCGUUGAUUGUAAUCUUGCGGGAUUAUUGGAGCCAUCAGUGAGAUACCACCCUUGUAAUGUUAGAUUUCUAACUUUGAAUCAUUAUCUGGUCAAAGAACAGUUUCAGGCGGGCAGUUUGACUGGGGCGGUCGCCUCCUAAACGGUAACGGAGGCGUACAAAGGUUUCCUCUGAACGGUUAGAAAUCGUAUCUAGAGUGUAAAGGCAUAAGGAAGCUUGACUGUGAGACCUACAAGUCGAGCAGGGACGAAAGUCGGUCUUAGUGAUCUGACGGUACUGAGUGGAAAGGCCGUCACUCAACGGAUAAAAGUUACUCUAGGAUAACAGGCUGAUCUCCCCCAAGAGUUCACAUCGACGGGGAGGUUUGGCACCUCGAUGUCGGCUCAUCGCAUCCUGGGGCGGUAGUACGUCCCAAGGGUUGGGCUGUUCGCCCAUGAAAGCGGUACGCGAGCUGGGUUCAGAACGUCGUGAGACAGUUCGGUCCAUAUCCGGUGUAGGCGUUAGAAUAUUGAGAGGAGCCUUCUUUAGUACGAGAGGACCGAGAAGGACAUACCUCUGGUGUACCAGUUAUCGUGCCAACGGUAAACGCUGGGUAGCUAUGUAUGGAGUGGAUAACCGCUGAAAGCAUCUAAGUGGGAAGCCCACCUCAAGAUAAGUAUUC
rnacentral:rRNA from 1 species